GGAAACUUAAACACACCCCAACACUUGCCCUUUAAUGUUUAACCCAAGACAGCAACUAAGCACCAUGCAGUCGUUCACUCGCUCUGCCCAGUGCAGGAUGGAGAAGAGAAUAAGAAGAGUAAAAAAUGAGAAAAACCUGUGGAUUGAGAUGAAAAAAGUUUAAUAACAAUAAAAACAACAACAAUAAUAUAAGAAAAUGAAAAAAAAUAUUAAUUGAGAAAAUAGAACCCAAAAGAGACAAGUCAUGCAAGUGAAAAUAGUUGCUCACCAUCAACUGACCAAUGGCUAGUCAGUCCCUGUGCUGAGGGCCCCUCAUCUUUAUAUGCUCCUCAUCUGUAUAGGCUGAACAUGAUACCAUAUGGUGUGGGAAAUCCAUUUGGUCAUUUGGGAUCAGCUGUCCUGAUCAUGUCUCCUUCUUGUCUACCUCCUCACUGGUGGGGUGGGGAGAGUAGCAGAAAAUACCUUGAUGCUGUGCAGACACUACUCAGCCAUUACAAAAGCAUCCCUCUAUUAUCAACACUGUUUUGGACACAAAUUUAAAAUACAGCCCCAUACCAGGUACUCUGAAAAAAACCCUCAUCUCUAGCCAAGGUUUUUCCACCUCUAUCCGGGGUUUUCCAAACAACUGUUCAGAAAAAACCUCUAAAAAUCUGGUUUUAGGAACUGAGAUUAAUCUGAAUAGUCUGUAACUCCCAGAUGGUUCCUCCUACCAUUUAUAAUGCUUGGCAUAAUAUUUUCUUUUUCUUUUUUCAUUUGUAAGGGGCUUUUUCCAGAUUGCCUCAAAUUUUUUUGGCCACAGGUAAGUAGCAGCUUUACAGUCACCUCAGCUGUGUGCUUCAGCAGUUUCAGAUGAAUCUUGUCCAGGUCCAGAGAUUUUAGUACAUCAGGAUCCUUCAAGUAGCCCCUAGCCUGAAAUGAUUCCACUCUUGACUGCUUUUCUCCUUCCCAAGAUUGACUGGCUUGAUGCAGGGAUCUGGUCUCAGGCUUUUCCUAUAGGGACUGAAGUAGGGAGGUGGGGAAAACACCACUGUUAUCGGUGUCAUCCAUCACUGGGCUUUCUCCUCCCUUUUGUCAACAGUGCCACAUUUCCUCUGAAUUUUUUGCUUUGAACCUUUUUCUGUGAGCGAACUGACAGAAUUUCUUCUUGUUACUCCUUGUGUCGCUAGGCAAUUUCAACUUCAGCUGGGGUUUGGCCUUCCAUUUUUCCUCUAAGAAUACACCAAUUGUGACCACUGUUGAUAAAGAUACCAUUACACAGAUGUCCAUGGACUGGUACAUCUUCAGAAAAAAGCUAGCUGUAUCUUUCUCAGAGACUUGAAAAAUGGCAUCAGCAGAGAUGAUAAAGGUAAGUCACUGUUGAAGUAUGAAAUUAGCUUCCUUAAAAGAUUGUAAUGAUUCAUAAUCUUGGUUUUAAUCCUGUAAAAGGGUAUUGUUACUUGUAAUUUCCCAUUGCAGACAAGAAAAGAAAGAAAAGUAAAGGACUUAGUUCAAGUGAUAAUACAAGCAACUUAGGUUUUACGUGUUUUGGCACUUUUUUUGACAGGACUCAAGAGGAGAAAAAAAAGUAAUGUAUCAUAGCCUCAAGGGAAAGCAAACCAGCUGUCAGCUUAAAGGAAACAUUCGUUAAAUUAUUUCCUAUAAAGCUUUUGUUAGACCACAACAGUAAAGAAGCCCCAGCAUGCUUUUGCAUACACAGAUUCUAUUACAAAUCAUCUCUGCACACUUACUUGUGUACAAAGUGGACCUUUCUCAUGGGUCAUAUGCAUGUUCCUAUCUCAACUGCUAAAUUAAAAAGACCCUUAAUCUCCCAGCUCCUACCAAGUAAUACUAUCCUCUGUCAAUUUCUUUAUUUUUCUAUCCUUUUUCUGUUGUCCUCCCUUAGCGAUACUGUUGUUCUGCUUUAGCACUUUUUUGCACACUGUGAACAAUCUACACUUCUGUGCUUGCAAUCUUUUUCCAGUUUUUCAUUCCCCCAAGCAAAUCUCAUCAAUCAAUGAGCAAAACCUCAAGGUGAUACAAACCAGAUACAU